rnacentral:lncRNA from 1 species
GAAAAAGCAAAUUGUGGAGUUGAUGCAGCAAUGUGCAGCUAAUGAUGCUAAGUUUGCUAAAUUUUAGGAGUUGGUUAAGAAGCACAUGCCUCAAGUAUUUCAUGAUGAGGAAGAGAGUGAACUCGAUGAUAAUUAGAUUGUAGUUAUUGUUAUUGUUCUUGGUUGUGACAUUUAAAUGUUUAAACUAUUUGACUCGAUGUUUGUUUUGGAUGUUUUAAAGUGAUUGAAUUUAUAAUUUUUUAUCGUGUU